AUCCAAGGCCUUCCUAAGAGUAAGCCGUAGGAAGUUCUUGCAUCAAUCACGUGGAAUAUCGUGCUCGACUUGAGUUCACCAAUAGUCAUCUCCACUCGGAUCAUGCCCAUCGCUCUUUGUCCUCCUUGAUUAAAACCUUGGAUUAGUAGACGACUUAGGGACAGUUCAUCCGCCUUGAUGCCGAUUGUAGUCAUUGUCGACUUUGGCAUGAUGUUUAUGGCUGAUCCACCAUCCACAAGCAUGCGGUUGAUUUUGUGCCCCUUUA
rnacentral:lncRNA from 1 species